AUUGAACGCUGGCGGAAUGCUUUACACAUGCAAGUCGAACGGCAGCACGGACUUCGGUCUGGUGGCGAGUGGCGAACGGGUGAGUAAUGUAUCGGAACGUGCCCAGUCGUGGGGGAUAACGUAGUGAAAAUUACGCUAAUACCGCAUACGAUCUAUGGAUGAAAGCGGGGGAUCGCAAGACCUCGCGCGAUUGGAGCGGCCGAUAUCAGAUUAGGUAGUGGGUGGGGUAAAGGCCCACCAAGCAAACGAUCUGUAGCUGGUCUGAGAGGACGACCAGCCACACUGGAACUGAGACACGGGCCAGACUCCGACGGGAGGCAGCAGUGGGGAAUUUUGGACAAUGGGCGAAAGCCUGAUCCAGCCAUUCCGCGUGCAGGAUGAAGGCCCUCGGGUUGUAAACUGCUUUUGUACAGAACGAAAAGGUUUCUACUAAUACUAGGAGCUCAUGACGGUACUGUAAGAAUAAGCACCGGCUAACUACGUGCCAGCCGCCGCCGUAA
rnacentral:rRNA from 1 species